GAUGAACGCUGGCGGCGUGCCUAAUACAUGCAAGUCGAGCGAACAGAUGAGGAGCUUGCUCCUCUGACGUUAGCGGCGGACGGGUGAGUAACACGUGGAUAACCUACCUAUAAGACUGGGAUAACUUCGGGAAACCGGAGCUAAUACCGGAUAAUAUAUUGAACCGCAUGGUUCAAUAGUGAAAGACGGUUUUGCUGUCACUUAUAGAUGGAUCCGCGCAGCAUUAGCUAGUUGGUAAGGUAACGGCUUACCAAGGCAACGAUGCGUAGCCGACCUGAGAGGGUGAUCGGCCACACUGGAACUGAGACACGGUCCAGACUCCUACGGGAGGCAGCAGUAGGGAAUCUUCCGCAAUGGGCGAAAGCCUGACGGAGCAACGCCGCGUGAGUGAUGAAGGUCUUCGGAUCGUAAAACUCUGUUAUUAGGGAAGAACAAAUGUGUAAGUAACUAUGCACGUCUUGACGGUACCUAAUCAGAAAGCCACGGCUAACUACGUG
rnacentral:rRNA from 1 species